GUAUCUGUAGGUUAGUGUGUAGGUUAGUGUGUAUCUGUAGGUUAGUGUGUAUCUGUAGGUUAGUGUGUAGGUUAGUGUGUAUCUGUAGGUUAGUGUGUAGGUUAGUGUGUAUCUGUAGGUUAGUGUGUAGGUUAGUGUGUAUCUGUAGGUUAGUGUGUAUCUGUAGGUUAGUGUGUAGGUUAGUGUGUAUCUGUAGGUUAGUGUGUAGGUUAGUGUGUAUCUGUAGGUUAGUGUGUAUCUGUAGGUUAGUGUGUAUCUGUAGGUUAGUGUGUAGGUUAGUGUGUAUCUGUAGGUUAGUGUGUAGGUUAGUGUGUAUCUGUAGGUUAGUGUGUAUCUGUAGGUUAGUCUGUAGGUUAGUGUGUAUCUGUAGGUUAGUGUGUAUCUGUAGGUUAGUCUGUAGGUUAGUGUGUAUCUGUAGGUUAGUGUGUAUCUGUAGGUUAGUCUGUAGGUUAGUGUGCAUCUGUAGGUUCGUGUGUAUCUGUAGGUUAGUCUGUAGGUUAGUGUGUAUCUGUAGGUUAGUGUGUAUCUGUAGGUUAGUCUGUAGGUUAGUGUGUAUCUGUAGGUUAGUGUGUAGGUUAGUGUGUAUCUGUAGGUUAGUGUGUAUCUGUAGGUUAGUGUGUAUCUGUAGGUUAGUG
rnacentral:lncRNA from 1 species